UACGGAGGGUGCGAGCGUUGUCCGGAAUCACUGGGCGUAAAGGGCGCGUAGGCGGCCUGAUAAGUAGGGGGUGAAAUCCUGCGGCUUAACCGCAGGGCUGCCUUCUAAACUGUCAGGCUCGAGCACAGUAGAGGCAGGUGGAAUUCCCGGUGUAGCGGUGGAAUGCGUAGAGAUCGGGAAGAACAUCAGUGGCGAAGGCGACACCCUGGACUCAUACUGACACUGAGGUGCGAAAGCGUGGGGAGCAAACAGG
rnacentral:rRNA from 1 species